UGGGCGUCUUACCUUGCAGUCGAACGAUGAUGCCCAGCUUGCUGGACGGAUUAGUGGCGAACGGGUGAGUAAUACGUGAGUAACCUGCCCUUGACUCUGGGAUAAGCCUGGGAAACUGGGUCUAAUACUGGAUACUACCUCUUGCCGCAUGGUGGGUGGUGGAAAGGGUUUUACUGGUUUUGGAUGGGCUCACGGCCUAUCAGCUUGUUGGUGGGGUAAUGGCUCACCAAGGCGACGACGGGUAGCCGGCCUGAGAGGGUGACCGGCCACACUGGGACUGAGACACGGCCCAGACUCCUACGGGAGGCAGCAGUGGGGAAUAUUGCACAAUGGGCGGAAGCCUGAUGCAGCGACGCCGCGUGAGGGAUGACGGCCUUCGGGUUGUAAACCUCUUUCAGUAGGGAAGAAGCGAGAGUGACGGUACCUGCAGAAGAAGCGCCGGCUAACUACGUGCCAGCAGCCGCGGUAAUACGUAGGGCGCAAGCGUUGUCCGGAAUUAUUGGGCGUAAAGAGCUCGUAGGCGGUUUGUCGCGUCUGCUGUGAAAGCCCGGGGCUCAACCCCGGGUCUGCAGUGGGUACGGGCAGACUAGAGUGCAGUAGGGGAGACUGGAAUUCCUGGUGUAGCGGUGAAAUGCGCAGAUAUCAGGAGGAACACCGAUGGCGAAGGCAGGUCUCUGGGCUGUUACUGACGCUGAGGAGCGAAAGCAUGGGGAGCGAACAGGAUUAGAUACCCUGGUAGUCCAUGCCGUAAACGUUGGGCACUAGGUGUGGGUGACAUUCCACGUUUUCCGCGCCGUAGCUAACGCAUUAAGUGCCCCGCCUGGGGAGUACGGCCGCAAGGCUAAAACUCAAAGGAAUUGACGGGGGCCCGCACAAGCGGCGGAGCAUGCGGAUUAAUUCGAUGCAACGCGAAGAACCUUACCAAGGCUUGACAUUCACCGGACCGCCCCAGAGAUGGGGUUUCCCUUCGGGGCUGGUGGACAGGUGGUGCAUGGUUGUCGUCAGCUCGUGUCGUGAGAUGUUGGGUUAAGUCCCGCAACGAGCGCAACCCUCGUUCUAUGUUGCCAGCACGUGAUGGUGGGGACUCAUAGGAGACUGCCGGGGUCAACUCGGAGGAAGGUGGGGAUGACGUCAAAUCAUCAUGCCCCUUAUGUCUUGGGCUUCACGCAUGCUACAAUGGCCGGUACAAAGGGUUGCGAUACUGUGAGGUGGAGCUAAUCCCAAAAAGCCGGUCUCAGUUCGGAUUGAGGUCUGCAACUCGACCUCAUGAAGUCGGAGUCGCUAGUAAUCGCAGAUCAGCAACGCUGCGGUGAAUACGUUCCCGGGCCUUGUACACACCGCCCGUCAAGUCACGAAAGUUGGUAACACCCGAAGCCGGUGGCCUAACCCCUUGUGGGAGGAGCCGUCGAAGGUGGAACCGCC
rnacentral:rRNA from 1 species